rnacentral:rRNA from 1 species
CAGGCCUGAGGCACAUGCAAGAUGAGCGGGGCUUUCGGGGUCCGAGGCGGACGGGUGAGUAACGCGUGGGAACGUGCCCUCUGGUUCGGAACAACUCCUGGAAACGGGAGCUAAUACCGGAUACGCCCUUUUGGGGAAAGGCUUGCUGCCGGAGGAUCGGCCCGCGUCUGAUUAGCUUGUUGGUGGGGUAACGGCCUACCAAGGCGACGAUCAGUAGCUGGUCUGAGAGGAUGAUCAGCCACACUGGGACUGAGACACGGCCCAGACUCCUACGGGAGGCAGCAGUGGGGAAUAUUGGACAAUGGGCGCAAGCCUGAUCCAGCCAUGCCGCGUGAGUGAUGAAGGCCUUAGGGUUGUAAAGCUCUUUUAUCCGGGACGAUAAUGACGGUACCGGAGGAAUAAGCCCCGGCUAACUUCGUGCCAGCAGCCGCGGUAAU